CUGGGAAGCCGGGUCUUCCUCGAGCGGUAGUCGCAGCCCGCUUGCGGCUCUGCGCUGCCGGCCUCUUGCUUCCUGCUCUGGCGGUGGGGCUUUCGCGCUGGCUUCCGGACCCCGAGAGACUGUGAAGCAGUGAAACUGCAGUGACUGAGGCUGGAGGUUCCUGAGGGGCCUCUGGGUGAGGAACAGGCUCUCACCCUGGCCCGCCUACUCCGUUUUCUCCUGUCCCCCACUCCCCACCCCCCAGGUACUCUCUCUGGCCUUACUGAAAGGGAAUACAGGAAGAUGAGGAAACUGAGGUCAGAAAGAUAAACUCAUAGGCUUCAGAUAGAGAAAACUUUCAGCAGUUGCCAAGAUAUACUCCAAAGGAGAGAGAGUCCCUCCUGGAAUGGAAUUCUCAGCAAGUUGAAUAUUGUGAGAAUAACAGUGAAGAGAAGAAGAUUCCAGGCUCCAAUUGUGGGCAAGAAACUGUUUUUCAGGCCCUUGAAAUGCUUAUAGGCCUGGACACUAUGCUAUACUGCCCAGUGCAAUGGGUAGGAAAGUUCUUCAACCUCGCUUGGGCCUCCCCUCUACUCCAUGAGAUGCUGUUGCUGCUGCUGUGGGUGGUAUUCUUCUUACCUUUACUGUUGUCUCAUCUGAGAGAUAUGAAGGCCCCAGUUCUCCCCUACCCCUGACUUCUUGUGGUUAUUUGGGUUUUGUCACUGUCUAGUUUUACAGGUGAUGGUGGCUUUCCCUUCUGCACCAUCCCACACGUCUGGGUCUUAAAGAUCCUUUUUCUUUUCAUGGGUUGUUUUGAAGGUACGAGUGUCCUACAAGAGCCCAGUACUUCUUGGAACACUGGACUUCUUAAACUCAACACCUAAGAAACAAAAAAUCCAAUCAUGAAAUGAGCAGAAG